UUUACAUAUAACAAGAUAAAUAAAUAAAUGGGUGGUGGACAAAAUUAAUAAAGGCUGCUUCUGCACAAAACCCUAACCCUAGCCGCCAUAUUCAUUUUUUUCUGUAACUAUUGUGAUCGACAACGACCAUGGCAAAGAAGCGAAAGCACGAUUCCAAAGCAACAACAGCCGAAGCAACUGAGCCUCCGCAGAAGCAGCAACAUCAAGAAGAAGAAAAACCACAACAAGAAGAAGAAGCUCAAAAACAAAAUCAGAUUGCAGAAGAAGAAGAAGAAGAAGAAGAAGAAAUAGAAGAAUACGAACAAGUAAUCGAAGAAGUAGAAGAAGAAGUAGAAGUAGAAGAAGAAGAGGAAGAAGAAGAAGCGAAUGAUGAGGAUGACGAUGAUCCUAUAGAGAAGCUUCUAGAACCGUUUGGAAAAGAACAGCUUAUAAAUCUUCUUCGAGAAGCAGCGGAUACUCAUCGUGAUGUUGCUGAUCAUAUACGGAAGAUAGCUGAUGCAGAUCCUGUGCACCGUAAGAUAUUCGUGCACGGCCUUGGGUGGGACACUAGUGCUGAAACCCUAACUAAUGCUUUCAAACAAUAUGGAGAGAUUGAAGAUUGUAAAGCUGUGUGUGAUAAGGUUUCGGGCAAGUCUAAGGGCUAUGGAUUCAUUCUUUUUAAGAAGAGAAGCGGUGCGCGAAAGGCGCUUCAGGAACCACAGAAGAAGAUUGGUAAUAGGAUGACUGCCUGUCAGUUGGCUUCCAUUGGUCCUGUUCCGGUUGGACAGGCUGCUGCUAGUGCGGUAACUACUUCCCACCACCCGCAGCACCAGCAAGUGUCUGAUUAUACUAGGAGAAAGAUUUAUGUCAGCAAUGUUGCUGCGGAUUUGGAUCCCAAAGAGCUUACUAAUUUCUUUUCUAAGUUUGGAGAAAUUGAGGAAGGGCCAUUGGGAUUAGAUAAACUGACUGGUAAGCCGAAAGGGUUUUGUCUGUUUGUGUAUAAGAGUGCUGAGAGUGCUAAAAGAGCUCUUGAAGAGCCUCACAAGAGUUUUGAGGGUCACAUGUUGCAUUGCCAGAAGGCAAUUGAUGGUCCUAAACAUGGUAAACCUCAGCAGCAGCAGCAGCAGCACUAUAAUGCGCAGAAAUCACAUUUUCAGAGGAAUGGUAAUCCAGGUUAUAGCGGUGGGACUGCUUCAGGGCCGUCUCACCUAAUGGCGCCUGCUGCUGGUGGACCUGGGAUUGGUUUUAAUGAAGGAGCUGCAGGAGCACCUGCUUUAAACCCUGCACUUGGACAGGCGUUAACAGCGUUACUUGCUACUCAGGGUGCUGGAUUAGGCCUUAAUUUACUGGGAACUCUGGGCUCUGCUGCUGGUUUGCCUGCUGCAGCACCUGGAAUGCAAAAUCCAUAUGGUAACCAGGCUGGAUCAUACGGGCAUCAGGGAGUGAUGCAUGGGACCUACCCAAGUCAAGGAAGUUCUGGAAGAGGGCAGCAUGGUGCUGGACAAUAUGGCGGUGUAGGGCCUUACAUGGGUCACUAGUUGGGUUGAGCAAUGGUUCAUAUACUAACUUGCAGAAAGAGUAUGCAGUUGGGUGAAAAUAUAACUGUGCAGAAUUUUAAAAUAUUUUUGUUAUGCUGAUUUUAUCAGGGCUGCCCCCAUAUUUGUCAUUUGACAGAUUUUUCUCUCCAUGGGACUGGGUUAUUUGAAACCAAUUUGUUUUUCCCAAUGGGAAUGCUUUAGCUUGUGCUUAUGUAUAUUCUUAUCCCUAUUACUUUUUAAAGGGGUUUUUAAAUAUCAUUAGUGAUCAAAUGUUUCUAAGGAAGGCAUUCUGUUUAGGACUCUUGAACAAUUGUUCUCAUUGUUCUAAAAAAGAGAGCUUUCUGUUUCAAACUCACAAUGAAGAGUUGGCUGGGGGGAGAUGCCUUAAGAUUUCACUUGAUGUCAUACAGUAAACAAUUUUUAAGCUCGAGUUUUAUCUCUUACUGUGCAAACUAUUGUUUGCUUAAAUUUCUAGUUUUCAUGCAUUAGGGGCCAACUAUAUCAAUGGCAUUGAUUCUCACAGUUGAUUUCUUCCAAGAAAACAAGGUGUUUGCAAUGGAAUCAAAGGGUUCAUUUAUAAGAUACAAAAUGGCCAUACUCUGUUCAGAUUACAAAGGAGGACAUCUUUAUGAUUUUGAGGAGGUAUUAGAAAUUUUCUGUGGAAAAGCAAGGUCUUGAGGAAGAAAACUUUGUCAUUAUAUUUUAGGUCAACUGAUGGUCCAAUAGUUGUAGUUACUUUGGAUGUCCAUAAACAUAAGUCAUCACCUUUGCCAUUUUGACUAUCCUGCAACCUUUUCUAAACAGGAUUGAGAUAGGAAAAAUAACCAAGAUGAUCUGUAUGGCCAAAAAUGCUUGAUGUCGGAAGAUAGAUUCUGAUAGUAAAAUUGGUGUUUGGAAAUUUGGUUGGAAAGGACUGGGAUUUCUUCUAUAAAGGAUAGUGAAACAGGAUUGCAGUUCCAUAUUGUGAAUUUGGGAAAUAUCAAGGUCACUAGGUUUAGAGAUAAUAGGGUUCAGCAUCACAUGGAGAAAGCACAUCUCUGAUACCUACUGGCAAUUGGGAAAAUUCUGAUUGGCAGGGAUAAAAGAAAAAUGAUAUCACACUUGCAGAGCUUAUAGUCGAACUAGGAGUGAUUGGGAUCUCAGUUAUGGAUCAUGGGCCAAAAGAGCUGCUGCACUUGUACUUGGAAAGAAUUUCCAUAUCAUUCUCGACUGGCUAUGAUGGUGGUACAACAAGCAGGUUUGGAUCCUUAUGUUCAAAUAGAUUUAUGCCAUCAAUAAAUCAGGUGCUAUAUCAAUUUCAAUCAUUUUAGUAAAUGGAACUGUGCAUGAAAAGUAGGGUCAAUUCAUAAUAAAGAAAUGGUUUCAAUUUGAUUUAGGGUGUGUUUGGCAUUUCCAACCUCAAUUCUUAAUUUAUUUUAUUUUUUGAAUUUAAAAACUGUUUUUGCAAAAAGCAGGUAAAAUGAUGUUUUUUCCAAAAACAGGUUCGAGAAAACAGUUUCUAAAAAAUUAAUACAUAAAAAAAUUUUAAACCUACUUUUUCAACACCUAACAACAGUUCCAGACACACUCUUAUACUGAUUCAGCAUAUUUAUCUGGAAUCACUUAGGAUUCUGCUUGUGAUGGCUGUUGUAGUCUGAUAUCGGUUUAUUAGUUUGGCAUGUCAGUUAUAACUGGAAAUUGAUUUGUUCUAAUUUAUUUAGACUCAAUAGUAACUGUACCUUAUGUGUUAGAUUGAGAACUUAUGUCAUGGUGCUUUUCCAAAAAGAAAAAGAUAUCAAGUUAGUGACAAUGGAAACAUACACUUCGACUACAGCAUCCCUGAAAUAGUCAAAGUGGCUACGGUUUAAAACCUUGCUUUUAAUUUCUGCAACUCUCUGCCUUAUCUUUAUGAUCACAAUAUGCAUAUUCUGUUCAGUAUUUCUUUAUAUAAUAUAUCAUCGAUCUUUUUGCCAUUAUUUGAAAUUUUGUAAAACCAAACUGAUUUCAACUUUAUUGACUACAAUAUAGAUUGCGUAUUUUUUGGUUGUGCUGAAAUUGUUGCACUGUGGGACUUUCUGGUUGUUCUAUAUAAUUUUAGCGAAGCCCCAAAGUCCACCUAAAUUAACAUUUUUAUAUAAACCAAAAUAUAUUAACACAUUCUCUCUUUUUUUCUCUUUCCUUUUGGAGAGCGGAGUCCGUAUAAAUGAUUUAGAAGUUCAGGUGAAAUAUGUUUAGCAUGAGUAAAACUAUUUUGUUGAGUUUUGCUUGCUUCUUGUUUCAUAGUAUUUUAACAAGUUUCAACUCAAUCAAUUCAUAGCCAAGGAUAUGAAUAUUCUUGAUUGAUAUUCUUAUAGUAUGUUUAGAAAUGGACUAAUGAAAAGAACUCUUUGAUCUCCAAUAAAUAGUGUUUGUUUCUCUACUUUUGUUUUUUUUCUUCCAUUUAAUAUUAUCUUGUGCUUUAGUACAUAGUUCGAAAGCUUUGGGAACAAUUUGACUACCAUGAAUCAUUUGUACUUUACGCAAUGAGUGAAAUUGAACAAAAUCACUUUACCUAGUUUUUACUCAUCUUUGGAACUUCUCUUUUUUAAAUAUUCAAAGGGUACUUCAAUAUGCUUAUUUGCAGUGGUAAAUAUACAAUGGACUAUUCGUUCUCAGUGUUAUUUUAUUGGCUUCUGCAAAUUGUGCUGUAAGUUCUAACAGGGUAACAGGUUGUAUUCAAGAAUUCAGGUAGUGGUUAUUCAUGAUGCAUGUUUUAAAUGAAAUUGUGUUACGCGAGGAUCUCUGCCAUCAACAAACACCCAGACUCAUGUUGGUUUAUAUUUUUUUUUAUUUUCAGUAUUUUUUGAUGCAGGAGCAUACGUUAUUCAAUUUUCUUCUCUAAUAUGGUUUUAAUCUUCCGAAUGAAUUUGGUUCAAGCCUCUUUCAGUUUUCGUAUUUAAUGUUUCGAAGUUCCCUUAAUGGAAUGUUGUUUGGAUCACUUAUGUUUAAUUUUCUUUUAUAUAAUAUUUGGGUAGGUUACUUCCGUUAAAUCCUUUAUUAUAGCUAGUGUAAAAGGGAAUGCUAGAAGACCAUCUCUUCUGGGUAUCCUGAUUCUGAAUUCUACAACAAUGAGGAUUUGUCCUAACCUAUCAUCUUCUCUCUUGUGCCUACCACAAUCAAUCUUAUUCUACUUAAUUGUUGGGAACUAAUUGCCUGCUAAUUCCUUUAACUGCGUUGUUCAUCGUCAAGUAGUAUUAGAGCGAAACAUCCUAUAUUCUUACAAGGAUCUUUAGCUAGUACACCAUGGAUGGUUGAGGUAGAGGCAACUAGCCCCAAGAAAUACAGAUGGUUGAAUGUGGAGAAUUUUUGAUGACUUGGGUUUUACAAGUCUUGCUGCGUGAAGGACCAAUAGGAGCUUGAAUAGAGAAUUUGGAAGGUGAUCAGAACACCCUCUGACAUUCCAGGAAAUCUUGAGGUUGAAGAUGAAAACCUUUUUCAUGAAGCUGGAUUCAUAAAACAAGGAUAUCUUGAGGUUGAAGAUGAAGUUGGAGAUGAAAACCUUUUCCAUGAAGCUGGAUUCAUUAAACAAGUGGCAUGACAUUGAUUGAAAGGGCGGUUGUCGAAGUCGAGAAGUCGAAUUUUCAUGGAAAGCCCCAUCCUGAUGGUUAUUUAGAUUGAGAUUCCAAUUUGGAGAAUUGCUUUUAAUGGAAGCAUGUGGCAGAUCAAAAACUGUUAUUUGCGAGGCUUUAAUUAAGAGGUACCGGAAGAGAAUUAGAGAGCAAUGCGUCCUACAAGGCAAGCUUAAUGUGAGCACUUCGGAGCAUAUGAAACUAAGCCUUGAAAGCAAUUAUGCCAAUUUAUUAUCCAAUGCAGUUGCACGAGGAACUCUAUUUUUUGAAGCAAAGCGCAUGUUGGUUGAGGACUUGCGAUGCAAAUCCAAGUUGCUCAAGUAGAAAGACUUAAAAAUCGCGCCAACUUACAAGUUAUGUUUCACUUUCCCAAUCCUUGAAUGAUAUAUUGUUCUAAGCGGACUUUAGAGAAAUCGGAUUGAGGCAAUCGUGGCUUGGGUUUUAGCAACUUCUGCCGUCUUCGGAGUAAAAAAUGAUCGCAAUUCAAAGAUGAUUAGUCAAAAUUCCUUUGUUAUAUGGGUUGUUGGUUGAUUAAGGGAAAUGUAUUCAAUUAAGGGUAUUUAUAGACUUUCCUUUCAGUGAAUGAUUUUUGCAUGAGUUUAUGUUUUUAAUGAUUUUUAAAGUU